UACAGAGGUCUCAAGCGUUGUUCGGAUUCAUUGGGCGUAAAGGGUGUGUAGGUGGCGCGCUAAGUCGGGUGUGAAAUUUCGGAGCUUAACUCCGAAACUGCAUUCGAUACUGGCGUGCUUGAGGACUGGAGAGGAGACUGGAAUUCAUGGUGUAGCAGUGAAAUGCGUAGAGAUCAUGAGGAAGACCAGUGGCGAAGGCGGGUCUCUGGACAGUUCCUGACACUGAGGCACGAAGGUCAGGGGAGCAAACGGG
rnacentral:rRNA from 1 species